rnacentral:rRNA from 1 species
GGUUAAGCGACUAAGCGUACACGGUGGAUGCCCUGGCAGUCAGAGGCGAUGAAGGACGUGCUAAUCUGCGAUAAGCGUCGGUAAGGUGAUAUGAACCGUUAUAACCGGCGAUUUCCGAAUGGGGAAACCCAGUGUGAUUCGUCACACUAUCAUUAACUGAAUCCAUAGGUUAAUGAGGCGAACCGGGGGAACUGAAACAUCUAAGUACCCCGAGGAAAAGAAAUCAACCGAGAUUCCCCCAGUAGCGGCGAGCGAACGGGGAGCAGCCCAGAGCCUGAAUCAGUGUGUGUGUUAGUGGAAGCGUCUGGAAAGGCGUGCGAUACAGGGUGACAGCCCCGUACACAAAAAUGCACAUACUGUGAGCUCGAUGAGUAGGGCGGGACACGUGGUAUCCUGUCUGAAUAUGGGGGGACCAUCCUCCAAGGCUAAAUACUCCUGACUGACCGAUAGUGAACCAGUACCGUGAGGGAAAGGCGAAAAGAACCCCGGCGAGGGGAGUGAAAAAGAACCUGAAACCGUGUACGUACAAGCAGUGGGAGCACGCUUAGGCGUGUGACUGCGUACCUUUUGUAUAAUGGGUCAGCGACUUAUAUUCUGUAGCAAGGUUAACCGAAUAGGGGAGCCGAAGGGAAACCGAGUCUUAACUGGGCGUUAAGUUGCAGGGUAUAGACCCGAAACCCGGUGAUCUAGCCAUGGGCAGGUUGAAGGUUGGGUAACACUAACUGGAGGACCGAACCGACUAAUGUUGAAAAAUUAGCGGAUGACUUGUGGCUGGGGGUGAAAGGCCAAUCAAACCGGGAGAUAGCUGGUUCUCCCCGAAAGCUAUUUAGGUAGCGCCUCGUGAAUUCAUCUCCGGGGGUAGAGCACUGUUUCGGCAAGGGGGUCAUCCCGACUUACCAACCCGAUGCAAACUGCGAAUACCGGAGAAUGUUAUCACGGGAGACACACGGCGGGUGCUAACGUCCGUCGUGAAGAGGGAAACAACCCAGACCGCCAGCUAAGGUCCCAAAGUCAUGGUUAAGUGGGAAACGAUGUGGGAAGGCCCAGACAGCCAGGAUGUUGGCUUAGAAGCAGCCAUCAUUUAAAGAAAGCGUAAUAGCUCACUGGUCGAGUCGGCCUGCGCGGAAGAUGUAACGGGGCUAAACCAUGCACCGAAGCUGCGGCAGCGACGCUUAUGCGUUGUUGGGUAGGGGAGCGUUCUGUAAGCCUGUGAAGGUGUGCUGUGAGGUAUGCUGGAGGUAUCAGAAGUGCGAAUGCUGACAUAAGUAACGAUAAAGCGGGUGAAAAGCCCGCUCGCCGGAAGACCAAGGGUUCCUGUCCAACGUUAAUCGGGGCAGGGUGAGUCGACCCCUAAGGCGAGGCCGAAAGGCGUAGUCGAUGGGAAACAGGUUAAUAUUCCUGUACUUGGUGUUACUGCGAAGGGGGGACGGAGAAGGCUAUGUUGGCCGGGCGACGGUUGUCCCGGUUUAAGCGUGUAGGCUGGUUUUCCAGGCAAAUCCGGAAAAUCAAGGCCGAGGCGUGAUGACGAGGCACUACGGUGCUGAAGCAACAAAUGCCCUGCUUCCAGGAAAAGCCUCUAAGCAUCAGGUAACAUCAAAUCGUACCCCAAACCGACACAGGUGGUCAGGUAGAGAAUACCAAGGCGCUUGAGAGAACUCGGGUGAAGGAACUAGGCAAAAUGGUGCCGUAACUUCGGGAGAAGGCACGCUGAUACGUAGGUGAAGCGACUUGCUCGUGGAGCUGAAAUCAGUCGAAGAUACCAGCUGGCUGCAACUGUUUAUUAAAAACACAGCACUGUGCAAACACGAAAGUGGACGUAUACGGUGUGACGCCUGCCCGGUGCCGGAAGGUUAAUUGAUGGGGUUAGCGCAAGCGAAGCUCUUGAUCGAAGCCCCGGUAAACGGCGGCCGUAACUAUAACGGUCCUAAGGUAGCGAAAUUCCUUGUCGGGUAAGUUCCGACCUGCACGAAUGGCGUAAUGAUGGCCAGGCUGUCUCCACCCGAGACUCAGUGAAAUUGAACUCGCUGUGAAGAUGCAGUGUACCCGCGGCAAGACGGAAAGACCCCGUGAACCUUUACUAUAGCUUGACACUGAACAUUGAGCCUUGAUGUGUAGGAUAGGUGGGAGGCUUUGAAGUGUGGACGCCAGUCUGCAUGGAGCCGACCUUGAAAUACCACCCUUUAAUGUUUGAUGUUCUAACGUGGACCCGUGAUCCGGGUUGCGGACAGUGUCUGGUGGGUAGUUUGACUGGGGCGGUCUCCUCCUAAAGAGUAACGGAGGAGCACGAAGGUUGGCUAAUCCUGGUCGGACAUCAGGAGGUUAGUGCAAUGGCAUAAGCCAGCUUGACUGCGAGCGUGACGGCGCGAGCAGGUGCGAAAGCAGGUCAUAGUGAUCCGGUGGUUCUGAAUGGAAGGGCCAUCGCUCAACGGAUAAAAGGUACUCCGGGGAUAACAGGCUGAUACCGCCCAAGAGUUCAUAUCGACGGCGGUGUUUGGCACCUCGAUGUCGGCUCAUCACAUCCUGGGGCUGAAGUAGGUCCCAAGGGUAUGGCUGUUCGCCAUUUAAAGUGGUACGCGAGCUGGGUUUAGAACGUCGUGAGACAGUUCGGUCCCUAUCUGCCGUGGGCGCUGGAGAACUGAGGGGGGCUGCUCCUAGUACGAGAGGACCGGAGUGGACGCAUCACUGGUGUUCGGGUUGUCAUGCCAAUGGCACUGCCCGGUAGCUAAAUGCGGAAGAGAUAAGUGCUGAAAGCAUCUAAGCACGAAACUUGCCCCGAGAUGAGUUCUCCCUGACCCUUUAAGGGUCCUGAAGGAACGUUGAAGACGACGACGUUGAUAGGCCG